ACGGCGCUCGGCGUCGCGCGAACCCCGGCGUCCGCGGUGCAACAGUGACAAAAGUGCCGCUCCGGGGCCCCAGUCGCUGACAGGAGUGGGGCGUCGGCGCUGCGCCUUACGCCUCGGGAGCCGGCGAACUUUCCGCGCGACCCAGGCGCACGGUAACGAGCUGGGGUGAAGGGGGGCGCGCGCCUGGGGCUGGCGUGCUGCCGGCGGGGCGUGCGACCGGCGGCCGCGUGGCCGCAAUAAAGUCUGCUCUGACGAGAAACGCCUGUGCUUGAUUUUUGGUUUCCCGUUCGUUUUGCCUUUACUCGUUACUCGGGGUCUCGUGCGGUAGCGGCACGGACGGCGUAGCCGACCGUGUGCUGCCACGGGCUCUUUGGUCGCGUGCCGGUGGGCGGCGCGCGAAGGCGACCGCGGCAAGCGGAAGCGGCGCGCGCAGCCUAGGGUUCACCGUUGGAAGUGUGUCCGUUAUUCUUUUAUGACCCGCGGAAACCGGAGACCCAGCCGUUGGGUGCCUGUUGGAACGAAGGGUCUGGCUGCUCCUGUCGAGCGACUCCACUAUUGUAGCUUUCUGAAAACUCCCUUCUAUCUUUGAAUAACUUGACACAGGCUUCGCCUAUUCCUCGCUCAUAAACAUUCCUUUUGCCGAAAAGGACUAUUUAAAAAUAUUCCUUUUAAAUAGUCUUUGCAUUUAGCUCUUUGAAAAUUCCAUGUCUUUUGUGAUUUCCCUAUUAUAAGUAACAGCUUAGGUUUUCCUUGUUCAAAUCAUCAAAUUGCUUAAGAUACAUUGUAGUGAAGUGUUUCUUCUGUGCUUCCUUUCGAUAGACCAGGUGUGGUUUAAAGCAACAUAAAGUUAGAUUGCCUUUUUUUUUUCCAAGAACCGAAAAUUUGAGCCAAGUGUAUCUUAUUUGUUUCUUAGAUUUAACGGUCAGCUUCAUCUGUUGAAUAUUCUGGAUUACUUUUAUCUACCGGAGUUGUUAGUGUUGAGGCAGGAGAGUAUUCUAAAUGCAUUACAUGCAUCUUAGGCCAAACUUAAACAGUUGGGCAUCUUAUAAUUUUAAACAUACUUAGCAAGGUGUCCUUGUGCAGGUUUUUAAUCUUUGGAGAGGGAGGUAAGUCAGGAGUUUAAAGCCAGCCUUGGCUACGUGUAUAGUUUUCUGAAAUACCUCGUUUCUAGGUUAACUACAUAGCCCCCUCUAUCCCAAAACUUUCUUCUGCUCCUGAUUCCUAGGUUUGAAGAUACACAUUUGUGCUACAACAUCUUACCUUGAAUCCCUUAAUCUCGGCAUGAAGACAAAUGAUUAUUGACAUGCAUUUUAAAGGGCAUUUCUUGCCGGGCAGUGGUAGCACACGCGUUUAAUCCCAGCACUUGGGAGAUAGAGGCAGGUGGAUUUCUGAGUUCCAGGACAGCCUGGUCUACAGAGUGAGUUCCAGGACAGCCAGGGCUACACAGAAAAGCCCUGUCUCGAAAAACCAAACAAAAGGGAAAAAAAAAAAAAAGGCAUUUGUUUUCCUCCCACCUAUAUGAGCAGAAGCUUUGAUGUCUCUGAAAUUGCUGUCAUUUCCCAUUUUUCUGAAAUGUACUUUAAAUGCAUUUAAGGUAUGAAUGUGGGAAGGCUGGGGGGUAAGAGUGGACAAAAAAAAAUUGUCCGUUAAAGAGAACCUGAUACCUCAGGUUUAUCCAAGCUGAAUUUAUUGAGAAUUUACUUGUGUGAGUCAUGUAUACUAGAUAAGCAUAUUAUCACACAUCUACAAACAAAAGGGAUGUGUGUGUGUCUGUUAUAUAUUUCUUGCUGUCCUGGAACACGGUAUGUUGACCAGGCUGGCCUCAAACUCAGAGAUGCACCUGCCUCUGCCUCUUGAGUAAGAUUAAAGAAAGGCAUGUGCUACCAGACCCAGCCUCUUUCUUCCUUUGAGUGAAAUCAGGCCAGUUAUUAAAUGUUUGUAGACAAGCAUGGUGGCUCAUGGUUGUAAUUCUAGGGCUCAGGCAGCUGAGACAGAAGGAUCACCCAAAGUUACAGGGAAGUUUGGGCUACAUACAACUUGUCUCAAAAACAAAACAAAAAAUCUGACUGUACCAUAUUUCUACAUUUGAUAGUUUGAGAUUGGUUCAAGCUCUAUAUUCAUGCUAUUUGUGUAACAGCUAAGAAUUUGGCUCCUUUGUGAAAUCAGUCAGGAGACAGUCUUGUUAUGGAGCCUAGAUUUGUCUUGAACUCACAGCCGUCCUUUGCCUCAGUCUCUCCAGGGCUGGAAUUGCAGUGCGUGCAGCGCUACACCUGCUGAUCAUGCAUUUAGGUUAUUGUUUAGUUGCUGAAUAAUUCAUUCAAAUAAUUUGGGCUCUUCCUCAAUAUAGAAUUGAAACUAUUAGAGCUAGACAGGAAAAAGUGGAGUACUUUUUUAGUUGUAGAAGCUAGAGGUCUUUGUCUUACUUUUAGAUCUUAACAUCUGGACUACAAAAGAGAUACACCCCUGAAACCAACACAUAUAUUAUUAGGUUUAGAGUUUGUAUCUGGGUAAAAUAAUCUGACUAUACAUGAAGCAUUCCAUAUCAUGUCUGUAAACCAACACCAUUUAUUCAGUAUUUCAUUUAUUUUUUUGUACAGCCUUUGUCAAAUUCUUUCUCUUAGAUCAAAUGGCUUGUUGUGAAUGAAUCUGACUAUUGUUCAUAAAUAAAGGAAAGUUGGAAUUUUAUCAUAA